rnacentral:rRNA from 1 species
GACGAACGCUGGCGGCGUGCUUAACACAUGCAAGUCGAACGGAAAGGCCCUGCUUUUGUGGGGUGCUCGAGUGGCGAACGGGUGAGUAACACGUGAGUAACCUGCCCUUGACUUUGGGAUAACUUCAGGAAACUGGGGCUAAUACCGUAUAGGAGCUCCUGCUGCAUGGUGGGGGUUGGAAAGUUUCGGCGGUCGGGGAUGGACGCGCGGCUGAUCAGCUUGUUGGUGGGGUAGUGGCUUACCAACGCUUUGACGGGUAGCCGGCCUGGGAGGGUGGCCGGGCACAUGGCGACUGAGAUACGGCCCAGACGCGUACGGGGGACAGCAGUGGGGAGUAUGACACAAUGGGCGGAAGCCUGAUGCAGCAGCGCCGCGGGCGGGAUGACGGCCUUCGGGUUGUAAACCGCUUUAGCCUGAGACGAAGCGUGAGUGACGGUAAUGGGUGAAGAAGCACCGGCUAACUACGUG